rnacentral:tRNA from 1 species
GUCCACGCUGGUGGGGCGGAUCACCGAGUCGUGGGGCGACUCGGCGCGGUUCGAGUCGCUGUCAGGGCGGAUCACGUUGCGCCGCGCCGAUG